GUCCAGGAACAUCAUCUGGCAAGGGUGGCAUUCUCGCAGUGCACAGAGGAAGUCAAACAGAGGGAUGUGUUCACUUUGAAAGCAGCUAAGCUUAGAGGUGCACCUUGAAGGCUUGCUUUGACAAUCUGCUGAUAUCUGCCUUAGUCACCUGGAAUCAGCUGAGAUGAUGCCAAAAUAAGCUGGAAUGCACACGGGAGGACAUCUGUUUCUCUUGCAUUCUACAGAAAAUAUAAACACACUGUUUUCAGAAAAGAACCCAGAGACCAACGACACACAUUGUCAGAUUCUGAAUCAGCAAUAUAUCCUUGGUACUGUCAAAGUCUCCACAGAAGGAAACCAAGAAAGGAAAUGUAAAGUAACCUCCACAAGGUCACUAACAUCCAGCAAAGUAUGAACCCAGAGGCUGUGCAGCUACAGCGUGGGAGGCCCAGCACUUGUGUGAGUGCUCUGUUCAAAUAUGCCCCAACCUCCACAUCCUCAUCAGGGCCUGCAGGGACUUCAUGGCCCUGGAUGGAGAUUCCCACCCAUCCCUGCCACGAUCCCAGAAGCUGCAGCUCAGGUCAGGGUGCAUGCCCAGCCCUGCCCUAUGGCAAAUUCUCACAGUGGGCAGCCUGUUUCCAGCCUGCCUUUGGGGCCUUGCACCUCAGCACACCUCGGACUCAGUGCUGGAGGGCUCAACUCCAGGCCCAUCUCCUGCUGUUCCCAGCUGGACGCUGG
rnacentral:lncRNA from 1 species